rnacentral:tRNA from 1 species
GUUCCCAUCGUCUGUGACUCGGGGUAUCACCCUUUCAUAGUGAGUACAGGGGUUCGAAUCCCCUUGGGGACG